CAUUGCUCGAAUUGUCCAAACUCACAGUCUUGAUAAAUCAAUCAAUUAAAAUUGUUCUUUGCUGAAAAUUAAUAAAAAAAAAUUUUUUCUCACCAAAAAUGAAAGCCGUGAUACUUCUCGUAGCAACUUUAUUAGUUGUGGUCAGUGCUAAAUCCAUCUCUCGCGAGGAAUCAGAAGAAAUUUUCUUUGAUUGUGAACUUCCCAAUUGCCGUGUCGAAGACAUAGUUUUAUAUCCGCACAGAAAUUUGUCACUUUUCUACCAAUGCAUUCCCAUCUCGGCACAAAAAUGGGGCCCAAUUGAGAGACCAUGCGCUCCAACAUUAUUAUUUGACCCAAUUGAACAGGCUUGCACCUUUAACGGAUUGGAUGUUUGCUCAGCAGUAACGGAAAUUCCAACUGAAGAAACGCCAACUGAGGCUUUUGAGGAGUAAAUUUCUGAAAAUUUAAAGAAUUUUAAAAUAAAAUGUGAAACUGUGUGAUAUUUCUGAAUAAAUUCUAACUUUUACGUGUUAA